rnacentral:rRNA from 1 species
UACAGAGGGGGCAAGCGUUGUUCGGAAUUACUGGGCGUAAAGGGCGCGUAGGCGGCCUUCUAAGUCGAACGUGAAAUCCCCGGGCUCAACCCGGGAACUGCGUCCGAUACUGGAAGGCUUGAAUCCGGGAGAGGGAUGUGGAAUUCCAGGUGUAGCGGUGAAAUGCGUAGAUAUCUGAAGGAACAUCAGUGGCGAAAGCGACUUCCUGGACCAAUACUGACGCUCAUGUGCGAAAGCGUGGGGAGCAAACAGA